UGCAGUUUUUUCUCUUGCAGCCACCCUCUUCUGCAAAUCUAGGGAAGAUGUACAUUUUCAUGCUCCUUUUAUGACGUAUCUGGAAAAUGUUUUGGAGAUACUGUAGGGAAGAUGCUCACAAUUACAGUACCGUUUUUAAAAGCAAGCAAUUUGGACUGUAAACUGCAUUUUUGUGUGCAUACAGAGGAGAUGGGAAGCUGGGCUGCCUUGCAGGAAAAGGGAAUUGAAGGAGGGAAAUUUUACCUUCAAGAAAGGAGAAGAGAAGCUUUAGAGGAAGUUUGCCAGCAGUAAUAAUCAGGAUCCAGAACUUGAUUUGAGGGUAAGGACACCAGCAGGGAUUUGAGGUGGGGCACUAUCUUCAGCUGUGCCCUUUGCUGAUUUCCCAAACAUGACAUAUUAAGCUCUGAAAUUCAAUCUGGGUUUGAUUAACUUGGAGCAGUUGCUAACAUGGUUGAUGUGACACCACAAGGGUAGUUUUUUAGAAAAGCUGUCUUUCGUGGACAAAGUGCAUUUACAGAAUCCACAGGUGUGAAGGCCCUUUGGUGUGAGUACAAAGAAUGGCCUAAUGAACACAAGUGUAGUCCUGGGAGUCCCCUGUCCAUUUCCAGCCUGGCCCUACUGGGGCAGCAAGUGAAAUAGGGAUGGAGAAGACAUCACUGCAGAAGAGAAACCAUCAUCCCUUCCCAGUGGGAAAUUUCCUCGGUGCUGAUUUGGAGAGCUGUGGCACAGGCUAUGCUGCAAGACUCAAUGAUGGUUUUAAAAUGUAAGCACUCUCAGUUGCUGGGCCAAUGGUUUUAUACCUCGUACGGGUGUGGAGCACUGGGAACAUCCUGGCAGCACCUCACUCUGUGGGGAUGAACCAGGGAACGGUGGGAGGUGAAGAAGGUGGUACCGCCGGUGGAAGGAGACGUGGCUGUAGGUGAGAACACAGAAUCACAGAAUCCUUAGGGUUGGGAGGGAUUCCAGGACAUCGCCCUGUCCAACCUGCCUGGGACACCUGCACGGGGACACGGGAGCACG